AGCUUGAAUAUAAAGCAGGCAGAAACAUUUGAAGAAGGAGAUUGGCCUAGCCUCCCAGCCUACAUGUUUCUCUCAUUCUGGAUGCUUCUUGACCUCAAAUUUCAGACUCCAAGUUCUUCAGUUUUGGAACUCAGACUGGCUCUUCUUGCUCCUCAGUCUGCAGACAGCCUACUGUGGAACUUUGUGAUUGUAUGUUCUAGUUGGGUAGACUGGUCUAUGCUGGUUAUAGCCCCAUAUUUUAUGCUCGAAGUGAUCACAUAUACUUCUACUUAAGAUGAUUUACUAUGCUCUGUUCAAAUCAUUAAUAAUCACCAUCAAUGAGAGAAAACUGAUUUGCAUAAAUUUCAUGGGUCAACUCCAAGAGAACAGGCCAAAGACAAAAACAACUUUUGAGACUUUGCUUUGGAUCCUUGCAAAGACCAUGCAAGGGCCUUCCUUCUGAAUUUUGUUUUGUUUUGUGAAGAACACUUCAGAGCACGGAGCAUAAAAGCUCAACAAACUGAUUGAUCUAAGUGUUCUGUAUUUAUAAAGAAGGGCUAGCAAGGAGGAAGACGUGUCUGGCAUUUUCUGCUUUGAACUUAACACACAUAAUCCAAAGCUAUCACAGAAAGAAUAAUUAUUCGCCCUAUGAUGGAUACAGUAUCUACAGGUACAUCUAAAAUGAUCAAAAUAUAUAAAUGAAUUAAUGUGUUACAACUACCCUGUCUAUACUAGGAGAACAAACAAGUGCUUUAAAUAACCAGAACUACCUACUUAACCCAAUAGAAUCCAGUGGUGAUAAAUCUAGAGUCAGUAAAUCUCAAGAAAGAAAAACGUUCAAAUACUUAGAAAUUUAUUGGGCAUUCAAUGUUGUUUUGAUGGUUGUUUUAGUUGGUGUAUAUGAUUUGUCAAUCUUAAAAACCAUCCUGGAGAAAAUAACAGGACUUUGUAAUUACUGUAUGUUCAGUUUUUUCAGCCUUACAUUAGGUGAUAAUUUUGUUGAAAUUAACUGAUGGUAAAUAAGAAAACGAAUGCCCCUACUUCGGUUCUUAAGAAUCUUAUUGUUCUCGAAAGCGUUAAAAAUGCUGUCAUUGGUAAUACCAUCUCUAGGCAGCUCUCAAUAUAAAAAAGAAAAAAUGUGUUUUGAUUGGUAUGGAUGCCACAGACUGAAGUUUGGGGCUGUAUGAAAGAAAGAAAAAGUGAUAAGGAGAGAGGAGAGUCAAAGUUCAAGAGAUAUCCACUGUGACAUCUCAUACCAAAUUUAUUUCUGAAACAACAUAAGGGGGAUGUGUUUCAUAACUGCAGAAUAGAAAAAGACUUGUCAAAAGUCAAACUCCUGCAUUUCCAGAAUGAAGUGCAAGAAUUAAUUGACUCAAUGAAGUUUACUCCAAAUACUAAACGAGACGAUAUUUUCUGCUGCUCUAGCUGACAGAUUUUAGAUUUUUACUAAACUGGUGUAUUAAUAAACAAUAUUCUGUAGUCUCACUUUCAUGGUUCUUUUCACUGAAAUGUUGACAUGAAUUUUUAUUGUUCUUUUUAUUAUGCAACCUAAACACACCUUUAGUUCUUUUUCCUUGAAUUCAAGCUGACAAGGAAAACUUCAAGUGUCUCAAUGUACAUUCUCAUAAAAACCUUGUCAACAGAGGUUAUAAAGGUAAACUUAACCUUAAUGUGUAAUUGGAGCAUAGAGAGAAUAAAGCUGCUUUACAUAUGAAAAAUGAGAGGUAUUCAGAAAAAGAGAAGGAGGGGAGAAAGAGAGAAGUGAAGAAGGGAAGGAAGUAAAGCAAUGAAAUUUAAAACAGUUAGAAAUAUCAGGAGGAAAAGGGAAAAGAUACUGACCAUAAAACUGGAGGAUUUUUUUUGCUUUCAGAAGCAGUAUACACUAGUCAGUGAGAAGGAUUUUGCCACAGGAGGCAAAUUGCUUUGGGUUCUCAAAAUUGCGGAGUACUUAUAAAACACUGAACAUAUCCCUGGCAACAAGUACUUAACUAUGCAGUUUGUUACUUCUUGGGGAAAGUUUCGCAUUACAUAAAUUCGUGUUUCAGAGCCUUGUUUCAUUCUGGGUGCAAGCUGAAUAGUCGAGUGGGAAGUGACAUAGCUUUUAUAUCAAUCAUUAUGCAAAUCUGCCUUUGGAUUUACCUCAGAUUUAAAAUAUUCUAAAUUCCGUAAAAAUUAUUAUAGUUGGAAAAGUAAUAUUUUUGUUUAAAUAAAUGCUCUUUCUCUCAAA